rnacentral:rRNA from 1 species
GACGAACGCUGGCGGCGUGCUUAACACAUGCAAGUCGAGCGGUAAGGCCCUUUCGGGGGUACACGAGCGGCGAACGGGUGAGUAACACGUGGGUGACCUGCCCUUAGCUCUGGGAUAAGCCUGGGAAACUGGGUCUAAUACCGGAUAUGACCUCAUGACACAUGUUGUGGGGUGGAAAGCCUUGUGCGGCUAGGGAUGGGCCCGCGGCCUAUCAGCUUGUUGGUGGGGUGAUGGCCACCAAGGCGACGACGGGUAGCCGGCCUGAGAGGGCGACCGGCCACACUGGGACUGAGACACGGCCCAGACUCCUACGGGAGGCAGCAGUGGGGAACCUUGCGCAAUGGGCGAAAGCCUGACGCAGCGACGCCGCGUGAGGGAUGACGGCCU